CCUACGGGAGGCAGCAGUGGGGAAUAUUGCACAAUGGGGGAAACCCUGAUGCAGCGACGCCGCGUGAGUGAAGAAGUAAUUCGUUAUGUAAAGCUCUAUCAGCAGGGAAGAAAAUGACGGUACCUGAGUAAGAAGCCCCGGCUAACUACGUGCCAGCAGCCGCGGUAAUACGUAGGGGGCAAGCGUUAUCCGGAUUUACUGGGUGGAAAGGGAGCGUAGACGGCAGUGCAAGUCUGGAGUGAAAGGCGGGGGCUCAACCCCCGGACUGCUCUGGAAACUGUACGGCUGGAGUGCAGGAGAGGGAAGUGGAAUUCCUAGGGUAGCGGUGAAAUGCGUAGAUAUUAGGAGGAACACCAGUGGCGAAGGCGGCUUACUGGACUGUAACUGACGUUGAGGCUCGAAAGCGUGGGGAGCAAACAGGAUUAGAUACCCCUGUAGUC
rnacentral:rRNA from 1 species